UGCCACAGCCAUAUCACCCUGCAGCCCAAGACCGGUUACUCACUGAAGCUAAGCAGGACAGAGCCUGGUCAGUACCUGGAUGGAAGACCACUAGGGAACACUAGGUUGCUGUUGGAA
rnacentral:rRNA from 1 species